AUGUUGUUCCUAUUUUCUCUUUUAUUCAGAUAUACCUCGGAUUUCUAGAUAAGAAAGAGGUAUGCUGAACAAGAUUCAGGUCGUGCUAAGACAUCAACAAUCUAUGCCGACAAGCCUCCACUAUCUAUUGCAGAAAUGAAGAACUGUACGUGUUGAUUGCUUAUCCUGAAUAUGAUUUGGGGCGAAUAAGGCCUGACUAGCUUCUAAAUCUGCUGAACUGUACUGAUCGUGGUGUCAUGGUGUGAAACUAAUUUUUCUUUUGCUCUUCUAAAGGCCAUCUCACCUUCGCAAUGAUUCAUAUUUUGCCAGAGGAGAUGGCUCAGUUGGAAAUUAUGUUCUGCUUCUUGAUUCUUAUGCUAAUUCUCUGUCUGUUUGUAGGAUGGCUGGUGAUGUUCAGAAUAAUAAGGGAAGUGCCUUAAAGCUGAAUAUCAAAUGAAAAGUUGAGCUGCACGUUGGGGUCUGUAUCCUUGCCGUGGUGGCUUGUUAUUGAUACAGUCUUUUAUAUUUGAAUGCCCGCUACUCUCGCACAUAUACAUAUCUUUCAUUAUAGAUGCAAAUUUGGAGCCACUUAAAUUUGCUUGCCUGCCAUUUUACUUAGCAAUCUGCAAGAAAAAAAAAGGCACCAUAGAUUGUUUGGCAAUAAUGAUCGACAUAAAUUAGCAGUCUAUAUAUUUAUUAAAUUCUGAAUUACUUGUCCUCGUGUCUUUAGUGAUAUGGUUGCUUUGCCUUACAAUCAAAUUUUCAAUUAGUAAUGGUGAGUAUAGUAGACUGUUUAAGCAACUAAGCAACUCAAGUCCCAUGGUGACUACAACUCAAAGCACUAGUCUCGUAUUUUGGUGUGAAUAGCCAUAUUUGAAUGGAUAGCUCUACAAGAUAGGAAAAUAGUUUAGUGUGCAUUGAAACAAUAGUUACAGAGUUUUGCCUUUUUGUUUUGUUUCUGUGUACUUUUGAUUCAUACCUGCAACAUCGUAUUAUUGGUUCAUGUGAUUCUGAUGAAUUUGGUACAUGCAAAAUCCCUCUGCGAUAUCUUUGAUUUCGACAUUGUUACCAGUUUAGGGUAUUGAAAUCCUGUUAAUCCUAAAGUGUUAUAUGUGCUUGUGUGUUGGUGUCCUCUACAUGUUUGUUCUUAUACUUACGAGAACUGAAAAUAUUCUGUUUUUCAGGUAUCCGUUCAAGUGGUUGCUGGCUAAUGUAUGAUGGAUAAAGAGUAGCGUCUUGGUAUUUAUGGUAUGUACGUGUAGUUUUAAAUUGAAAUUUCAAAACAUCUUUUACAAAUAACUAGUAGCAAAAUCCAGGUUGUGAGAAGAAAAGUGGACCUCAAUGCUACCGUACAAUUAAUAGGAUACUAUGUUGCUUCCAGCCCGUGGAUAAGAAUGUUUUAGUCGCUGGGGUCCUAGAGAGAUUGGUGAACAGAUGAAGCUGAUGGGAGAUCUCUGGUCACCUGCAAGUUAAGCUAAUUUAAGAUCAAGUUCGACGGUUACUUAGUUUCAAGUUCAGCAGUACCGCAGUAGUUAGUAUUCAAGUUCAGCAGCAAUUUUGUAAUAGUGAUUUCUGAAAUUUUCAUGCUGUUGGUUAGUUACUGCUAAGUGGCAUUCAAUUGUAUCAGGACGAAUUUUAUUUGUAAUCUCAAGGCUGGAAUUUGUUUUAGUGAGAUAUUUCCUGAAACCACUACAUGGAAUAUAUUUAUGACACCACAUUGUUACUCCGUGGUUAUCAAGAAUGCCUUGUG
rnacentral:lncRNA from 1 species